UGAUACCUUAAAACUAAAUCCCCAAAUCUGUAUUCAUAGAGACAUUGCCCCCAUCUUGCCGCAAUGUGAUCUGCUGACUCCCUGAACUUUUGAAUUCGAUUCCAACUUUUGUGGGGAGAGAGAGAGAGAGUCAUGUACCAAGCGGGCCUUAUUGGUGAAGUGCCAAACUGGGCCUGGUUCAGCCCUUUAUUGCUAAUGAAUUCUACCUCAAUUCAAGAGAUUCAAUGCUCGCUUUCCAGGAAUCAUCCUUGCCAGGAGCAAACUAUGAGAUUUGUCUUUAGCUACUCUUCACACAGCAGAAGAUGGACGUUGAUACUUAGCAGUUCGAUCCUCAUGUCCAGCGCAAGAGAGCUGAUUCCCAGUGGUGCGAAUGGGGAGCAAUUUUCGCAUCUCGCUAAAGCGUAUGACACCGACAGAUUAUGUAGAUUUCACAAGGGGCUUGCACAAGUUUUGUUUGUGCUAUAUUGCUUAUAAUAUAGUCUCGUUAUUGCAUAAUAACAUCGGAAGGCAGAAGACCUUUCCGAUACUAUGAAUGCGACUGUUCUAUAACAAAAGGUCGUGGUCCUCAUUCCUGAUCUGUAUCGCCAGAAAACUGGAGUAAGUUUGAACCGGAAGCAUUCAACGGGCAAAAGAUGAAGUUUCAAUUCAAACGUUAACGUUCUGGGAAAAUGACAUGAGUUCAUGUCUAUACCCUCCAUGUGCCAAAGGUUCAAAUUGUUACCCUGUCCAAAUGAUAAAGUUGUUUUUCGACUUCUAAAACUCGUUCAAAAGUCAAGAGGAAAAAGGAAAAAAAGAAAGAAAGAAGAUUCUCCAUCUAUUGCUGUCCAAAGCAGGAAUCAUGUCAAAAACUUGUUAUCUCAUAUGUAAUAUGGAGGAGAUUUAGUGAGGCGCUAUUCCACACCUUAUUAUGUAAAACACGUCAUUUUUCUAUGUUAAAUGACCAAGUUACAACUCUUCGAUCACAAGAUUUGAUUCAAUAUUUCUAAUUAACA